rnacentral:misc_RNA from 1 species
GAUGAAGAACGCAGCGAAAUGCGAUAAGUAAUGUGAAUUGCAGAAUUCAGUGAAUCAUCGAAUCUUUGAACGCACCUUGCACCCUUUGGCAUUCCGAAGGGUAUGCUCGUUUGAGUGUCAUUGUACUCUCACACUCUCCGAUCCUAUGGAUUCGGGGAGCGGUGGACUUGGGUGUUGCUGCCUUUCCUUGUGGCUCACCUCAAAUGUGUCAGUGCACCUCUUGGUUGGACAUAGUACGGCGUGAUAAGUGUCUUCGCCGGCACCUCGCAAGAGGGUGGCCGAUCGGGAGCUCUGUGCUUUCAAACCGUCUUCGGACAAUUUCUGACAACUUGACCUCAGAUCGAGUAGGACUACCCGCUGAACUUAAGCAUAUCAAUAAGCGGAGGA